rnacentral:lncRNA from 1 species
AAUCCGGCACCGGAAUUCCUAUUGUCUGGUGGAAUCCGGGGUGCUGGGAUUCGAGAAAAGGGUAGGAGUGUUGUUUUCUAAGUGUUAUGAUGUGUUGUAAGGUGUAUAAGUUAUAUAGUUGUGAGUUUUGAAGAAAAAGUAGUUCAUGGAGACUUCAGCCAAGUUCGGCCGCCGAAGGUAAGUUCGGCCGCCGAAAGUGCCCAAUGUUCAGCUUUUGAAAUUCACGUUCGGCCCCCGAAUGUUGCAUGGUUUCGCAUGCGAUUGGACAGCCGAAGCUGAGUUGGCUAGUGAGCUGAGUCAUGUUUGUUUUGACAAGUGUUGGCCUCAGAUUCUUGCCAUGGAAUGACCACGUCUCUUAUGACUCAUCUGUACAUGUUUUUGGUUG